GUGCCAGCAGCCGCGGUAAGACGAACCGUGCGAACGUUAUUCGGAAUCACUGGGCUUAAAGCGCGUGUAGGCGGGAGGGCACGUCGGUCGUUGAAAUCCCCCGGCUCAACCGGGGAAGUGGCGCCGAUACGACCUUCCUGGAGGAACGUAGGGGGACCUGGAACUUCCGGUGGAGCGGUGAAAUGCGUUGAGAUCGGAAGGAACGCCCGUGGCGAAAGCGAGGUCCUGGACGUUUUCUGACGCUGAGACGCGAAAGCCAGGGGAGCAAACGGGAUUAGAAACCCCGGUAGUCC
rnacentral:rRNA from 1 species